UCAUGAGUGCUCACCUGGUAGAGGGAAGACCCUGAACGUCCAGACCGUUCCCCUGACCGGCCACGUGUGGACUCUUGGUGGCUCUGCUGUCUCAGCCCAGCCUUUCCGUGGCCUGACACUGAUUGUGUGUCUGAGUUUUCUGAAUGUCCCUCACUGUCACUGGCCUGACUACCGCUAGACCCCCGGUGUCCACGAUCGCUGACUGCAGAUGAAGCUUGCCCGCGCCCAGUGGCUGAGUGUCUGGAGCUGUCUGCUGACUGCUGGUGGCCGGAUCCAUGUCUUUCUCCUGGACUUGAUCUUGCCUGUUCAUGGGAUGAUGCAGUCUGUCCACGAGAGGAAGUCUCUGCGUGACGAGUGCCUGAUUGUCUGGAGCUGUCUGCAGAGUGCCCAUGACUGGCUCUGUCUUCAUCAUGGGACCUGGGGUGUCUGGAGCCAUCUCUUGACUGCUCCCACGCAGAUCCAUGAUGGUUUCUGGAAGCCGACCCAGAGUGCCUCUCAGAGUCUUCUGAGUGUCCCUCACUGUCCCUGUCCUGGCUAACUCUGGAUCCCCUACGCUUUCUUGUCCUGGACUCCUGCAAUGACUCAUAAUAUGCUUGAGCCAACUUGAAUACCAUCAGAAGAAACUCAGUGAAGUCAAUUUUCUUGUUGUGGUCUAUAUCCAAGUGAUCCAUGAAGACAUCAACCAUAUCUGGGUCAUCUGGAUUCUGUACAGAGGGAAGUCACAGAGGGAGACUGCAUCAGACAGAAUCACAUUAUCAGCCAAUUAAUUCAAAGUUAAUUUAAGGAACCUGAUCUUUGAGUAUUAAAAAGUGGGACAAAAUCUUUUUUUUUUUUAAGACUUUUUUGUCUCAUCCUCAUUCAGGUGUUAUAUGUGAACAAAGAUGUAGACUAGUAAGGUAUCAAGAUUUGAUGGGGAUAUCCAGACAACUUGGAGCCAAGUCCCCACAGCUGGAUCAGACAACUUUUGGUGACAUCUCACAGUGUGGAUUAUCAAGCCAGUGUAUCAGUCUGGAGCCUAGGUUUUUUGCCUUUAGCUUUGCUCAGGAUGACUUCUGCUCUUCUAUGGCAAUACUUGAGAAGCUACAGCUUUGAUUAGACGAGAGGCUAUUUCAAUAACUUUCUCCUGAUAAGAAGACCACCGACCGUGGACGGAUUCUGGCCAGUUUACAAAGGCUGCAUACCAUAGGGCAGGGCACCCCACUAUGGCAAACACUAAUAAUGAUAUUGCUCCUGAUUUUGUUUCUGAAGGGAAUGCCUCUAAGAUUUCUUCAUUAAUUAUAAGAGACUGGGUCUCACUCUGUUGCCCAAGCUGGAGAACAGUGGCACCAUCAUAGCUCACUGCAGCCUUCAACUUCUGGGCUCAAGUGCUUCUCCCACCUCAGCCUCCCAAGUAGCUGGGACAACAGGUGAAAUUGAAGGCCAGCUUUUGGAACUCAACCUUCAAAGGAACUUAAAAUUUCCAUUAUGUAGAGUCCCUGAGGAAACUGGAUCCACUAGCUACACUGGCUGAGAAUGCUCUCACCCCAGGAUUUCAUUUUUAUUUUACCACAUCAUUGUUGGUAUCUUAAGAUCAAUGUACUGGAGCAGCGGGGUCUCACAAAGAGGAUACCUGGUGACACGCCCAGGCUUUCAGAAUGCACUAUAGGGCUUUAGUGACUUGUCCAGGUUCAGCUGAAAUGUGCCAUCUGGGACCUACUAAUGCUUGUUGAACUUUACUGGAUCUCAGAAGCUGGGUCUCAGAAGCUCAGAUGUUCCUCAGAGCUACGAUAUCAACAACCUGUGAUGACAGAGAGAAGGUUGCUCCAUGAUGGAUUUGGAAACUUACUGGCUAGCUAAACCUGACUGAAUGGGAAGGAAUGUGGAUAGCUUUGGAACUCUAGUUUCACUAGAUGAGCUGGAAUUUGUAUUUUGACAAAUUGCACGUUAUGAUUAUUAAGUAAUGCAACUGAUUUUUUUUUCCCUUAAAACAAACAAUCUAGAAUCUGUGUAAUCAAAAUAAUUUCUCUAAAAGGCUGCAAGUAUAUGCUUAAAGUGUUGGGGCAUUCAGAGCAUUUGGAACAUUACAUUCUUUUGAAUGUCAAUUGGUAGAUGAAAAUACCAGCUUUUAAGUCAUACAUUUGAUUUUUUGAAACAAUAUGCAUUUAGAGUUUGUAAGUCAAGUGAAUAACUGAUAAGGUAAAAAAAAGGGGGAGUUCAUUGUUGAGUAUGAAUUUAAAGUAACCAGACUGCCUUUUGUCCAGUGGCUGUCAGUAAUUUACUUCAGCAGGCAUUUUUUUUUUUUUGAGGCUGUUCUAUGAUAUCAUGACCCUUCUUGUAGGAAUGUGCUUCCAGUGGUGAGGCAGUCUGAGAAUGUGUGAAGCAGUAUAAUGAAGCCAGACCAAGAUGGAAGCUUGGCCUGGGAUUUGAGCAUCAGGAAAACUGUUGAAGGGUUAUGUAUACAUCACACACACACACACACACACACACACACACACACACACACACACACUCUCUUCCAUACUCCUAUAACAACGUAUAGUAUUUACUAUACCUGGUGACAGGUAUUUACUAUACAUUGUUGAAGAUCUAUAACAUGGAAUGCCUAGUGCUAAGUGCAGUGUCCUUAGUGAAAUUGUAUUGGUUUGGAAUUAUUUAUGAGUUUGGGAUUAUUUGUCACUACCCUUAAAUGAUCUUGACACUCACCUAUUUGAAAAGAUAUUGAGGAUUUGCCAUUUGAUAUUGACCAGGGUGUAUUGUGCACAAAUAUUGUGAAUAUACAUCUGUCUGUCCUUAAAUCACUGUAAGUUUUAACUGGAAUAGAUUUGCUCCACAUUACUCGGUAGGGCUGAUAUUUCAUGCCUCAUGGAUGAGAAAAGAAUAGGCAAAAAUUAUAUCUCGGGCUGCCUCACACAUCUUUUAACAGGAUAAGGGAAAAAUAAAUAUAAGACCUAUGAGUUAUGGCAUCAGGCUUGAACUUUAAUUUAUGAAUUAAACCAACAAUAUUAUUGAUUAUUGCAAUUAUCUAUCUUAAUUUCAUUUGUUCUCCUUUUAAAAAUUAAUUAUGUUUAUUUUACCUAUUGUGAAUAAAGUCAC
ensembl:lncRNA CCDST cervical cancer associated DHX9 suppressive transcript